rnacentral:rRNA from 1 species
GACGAACGCUGGCGGCGUGCUUAACACAUGCAAGUCGAACGGAAAGGCCCUGCUUUUGUGGGGUGCUCGGAUGGCGAACGGGUAAGUAACACGUGUGUAACCUGCCCUUGACUUUGGGAUAACUUCAGGAAACUGAGGCUCAUACGGGAUAGGAGCUACUGCUGCAUGGUGGGGGUGGGAAAGUUUCGGCGGUUGGGGAUGGACUCGCGUCGUAUCAGCUUGUUGGUUAGGUAGUGGCUGACCAAGACCUUGACGGGUAGCCGGCCUGAUAGGGUGACCGGCCACAUUGGGACUGAGAUACGGCCCAGACUCCUACGGGAGGCAGCAGUGGGGAAUAUUGCACAAUGGGCGGAAGCCUGAUGCAGCAACGCCGCGUGCGGGAUGACGGCCUUCGGGUUGUAAACCGCUUUCGCCUGUGACGAAGCGUGAGUGACGGUAAUGGGUAAAGAAGCACCGGCUAACUACGUG